AGUGAACGCUGGCGGCAGGCCUAACACAUGCAAGUCGAACGGCAGCACAGUAAGAGCUUGCUCUUACGGGUGGCGAGUGGCGGACGGGUGAGGAAUACAUCGGAAUCUACUUUUUCGUGGGUGAUAACGUAGGGAAACUUACGCUAAUACCGCAUACGACCUACGGGUGAAAGCAGGGGAUCUUCGGACCUUGCGCGAUUGAAUGAGCCGAUGUCGGAUUAGCUAGUUGGCGGGGUAAAGGCCCACCAAGGCGACGAUCCGUAGCUGGUCUGAGAGGAUGAUCAGCCACACUGGAACUGAGACACGGUCCAGACUCCUACGGGAGGCAGCAGUGGGGAAUAUUGGACAAUGGGCGCAAGCCUGAUCCAGCCAUACCGCGUGGGUGAAGAAGGCCUUCGGGUUGUAAAGCCCUUUUGUUGGGAAAGAAAAGCAGCAGGUUAAUACCCCGCUGUUCUGACGGUACCCAAAGAAUAAGCACCGGCUAACUUCGUG
rnacentral:rRNA from 1 species